rnacentral:rRNA from 1 species
GACGAACGCUGGCGGCGUGCUUAACACAUGCAAGUCGAACGGAAAGGCCCUGCUUUUGUGGGGUGCUCGAGUGGCGAACGGGUGAGUAACACGUGAGUAACCUGCCCUUGACUUUGGGAUAACUUCAGGAAACUGGGGCUAAUACCGGAUAGGAGCUCCUGCUGCAUGGUGGGGGUUGGAAAGUUUCGGCGGUUGGGGAUGGACUCGCGGCUGAUCAGCUUGUUGGUGGGGUAGUGGCUUACCAAGGCGACGACCGGUAGCUGGUCUGAGAGGGUGAUCAGCCACAAUGGGACUGAGACACGGCCCAGACUCCUACGGGAGGCAGCAGUGGGGAAUAUUGGACAAUGGGCGAAAGCCGGAUCCAGCAAUGCCGCGUGAGUGAUGAAGGCCUUAGGGGUGUAAAGCUCUUUUACACGGGAUGAUAAUGACAGUACCGGGAGAAUAAGCUCCGGCUAACUCCGUG